CUACAAAGGAAGUUGACGGGGCCGCACAAGCGGUGGAGCAUGUGGUUUAAUUCGACGCAACGCGAAGAACCUUACCAGGGCUUGACAUCCCCUGACCGCGUAUGAAAGUACGUUUUCACCCUCGGGUGACAGGGAGACAGGUGGUGCAUGGUUGUCGUCAGCUCGUGUCGUGAGAUGUUGGGUUAAGUCCCGCAACGAGCGCAACCCCUACGUUUAGUUGCUAACGCGUGAAGGCGAGCACUCUAGACGAACUGCCGUUGACAAAACGGAGGAAGGUGGGAUGACGUCAAAUCAUCAUGCCCCUUAUGUUCUGGGCUACACACGUGCUACAAUGGCCGGUACAGACGGACGCAAAGCCGCGAGGUGGAGCAAAUCCUAAAAAGCCGGUCUCAGUUCGGAUUGCAGGCUGCAAUUCGCCUGCAUGAAGUCGGAAUCGCUAGUAAUCGCAGGUCAGCAUACUGCGGUGAAUACGUUCCCGGGCCUU
rnacentral:rRNA from 1 species